UAAAAAUUUAUGAUUUUCGUAAUUUAUUUAUAAUUUAUUUUACAUGUAAAUUUUAGUAUGAUUUUUACAUUAUUUUAAUAAUAAUGAUUUAUUUUGCAGUAAUUAAUAUUAAAAAUUUAAGAAAUUAAGAUUUAGUAAUAUUAAAAUUAUUAACAAAUUUUGUGCCAGCAGUUGCGGUUAUACAAAAAUUAAAAUAAAUUUUUUUAGUUAUAAUAAAUAUAUUUAAUUUAAAUUAAAUUUUAAAUUAUUAAGUGAAAUUUUAAUUUAAUAAAAUUUUAUUUAAGAAAUAUGAUUUAAUAAAUUUAUUAAGAAACUAGGAUUAGAUACCCUAUUAUUAAAAAUUUAAUUUAAAAUACUAAAAUAGUAGAUAAUAUUAUUGAAACUUAAAUAAUUUGGCGGUAUUUUAGUUCAUUUAGAGGAAUCUGUUUAAUAAUUGAUAAUCCACGAAUAAAUUUACUUAAUUUAAUAUUUUGUAUAUCGUUGUUAAAAAAAUAUUUUUAAAUAAAAAUAAUAUUUAAAAAUUAAAAAUAGAAAUUAGUUCAGAUCAAGAUGCAGAUAAUAAUUAAGAAUGUAAUGGAUUACAAUAAAUUUAUUUAAAUGAAUUUUAUUUUUGUAAUAAAUAAUUGAAAUUGGAUUUAAAUGUAAUUUUAUUUAAUUUAAUAAAAUGAUUAAAAAUUAAAAUAUGUACAUAUUGCCCGUCACUUUCAUUUUAAAAUUGGAAUAAGUCGUAACAAAGUAGAGGUACUGGAAAGUGUUUCUAGAAAGAC
rnacentral:ncRNA from 2 species